AUACUUUCCUGGAAGGGGUGAUACUAUGAUCACAAAGGUGGUUUUUCCAAGGUGAGGCUUAUCCAUUGUAUUCUGGAUGUGCUGACGUCUGCUGUUUCCCCAAAUGUGGGAAACUUGGCUGCAUAAUUUGUGGUAGUGAGGGGACUAUGUUUUUGCUUUUCCCUGG
ensembl:snRNA U1 U1 spliceosomal RNA